CUACAUUACUUGGAGAAUUGGAGGCUCCAUCUUCUUUCCAAACUAUAGCUGAAAACUGAAUUCACAGUGAGUAAAUUCAGGAGCUGAUUGCUGCUGGGCAGUGUUGGGAGUUUGCUCCUCCAAGGCAAUCAGUAGAUCCAGCUCACAAGGAAGACUAAAAAUAUCCAUUUUACAGCUGGAGAGGAAGCAGAACCACAGCAAUGUGAAAUGAUUUGCCUAAGACCACGCUGUGUUUCUUCAGCAGACAUAAGGAUAUGAAUUCUAAUUUCUUGGUUCUCAGGCUAGUUCUAGUCCCCAUUCUUAUCCUCACAUCUUAAGUAAUCAUUUCUCUAUGCUUUUACAGAUUUUCUUCUGUACACAGCAAUAAGUGCGUGCAAGCAUUUAAGUGACUCCCUAAUCUUUGAGUUCAGGGGGGGCGGUGGAACAUGCUUGAAAUAAAAACCAAAGUCAUUUUUUGAAAACCA
rnacentral:lncRNA from 1 species